rnacentral:rRNA from 1 species
GUGGCGCUACCAUGCAGUCGAGCGGAACGAGUUAUCUGAACCUUCGGGGGACGAUAACGGCGUCGAGCGGCGGACGGGUGAGUAAUGCCUAGGAAAUUGCCCUGAUGUGGGGGAUAACCAUUGGAAACGAUGGCUAAUACCGCAUAAUACCUACGGGUCAAAGAGGGGGACCUUCGGGCCUCUCGCGUCAGGAUAUGCCUAGGUGGGAUUAGCUAGUUGGUGAGGUAAUGGCUCACCAAGGCGACGAUCCCUAGCUGGUCUGAGAGGAUGAUCAGCCACACUGGAACUGAGACACGGUCCAGACUCCUACGGGAGGCAGCAGUGGGGAAUAUUGCACAAUGGGCGCAAGCCUGAUGCAGCCAUGCCGCGUGUGUGAAGAAGGCCUUCGGGUUGUAAAGCACUUUCAGUCGUGAGGAAGGUAGUGUAGUUAAUAGCUGCAUUAUUUGACGUUAGCGACAGAAGAAGCACCGGCUAACUCCGUGCCAGCAGCCGCGGUAAUACGGAGGGUGCGAGCGUUAAUCGGAAUUACUGGGCGUAAAGCGCAUGCAGGUGGUUUGUUAAGUCAGAUGUGAAAGCCCGGGGCUCAACCUCGGAAUAGCAUUUGAAACUGGCAGACUAGAGUACUGUAGAGGGGGGUAGAAUUUCAGGUGUAGCGGUGAAAUGCGUAGAGAUCUGAAGGAAUACCGGUGGCGAAGGCGGCCCCCUGGACAGAUACUGACACUCAGAUGCGAAAGCGUGGGGAGCAAACAGGAUUAGUCCCUGGGGUAAUUCAAA